rnacentral:tRNA from 1 species
GGCCGACUAGCUCAGCUGGUUAGAGCGUCGUGCUAAUAUAGGCAUCCUGACCCGUCCCCGAAAUGGCUCGAGUGUCACACGGCUAUGUUUACGCGAAGGUCUUGGGUUCGAUCCCCACGUUGGCCA